rnacentral:rRNA from 1 species
GUGUGUUAGUGGAAGCGUCUGGAAAGGCGCGCGAUACAGGGUGACAGCCCCGUACACAAAAAUGCACAUGCUGUGAGCUCGAUGAGUAGGGCGGGACACGUGGUAUCCUGUCUGAAUAUGGGGGGACCAUCCUCCAAGGCUAAAUACUCCUGACUGACCGAUAGUGAACCAGUACCGUGAGGGAAAGGCGAAAAGAACCCCGGCGAGGGGAGUGAAAAAGAACCUGAAACCGUGUACGUACAAGCAGUGGGAGCACGCUUAGGCGUGUGACUGCGUACCUUUUGUAUAAUGGGUCAGCGACUUAUAUUCUGUAGCAAGGUUAACCGAAUAGGGGAGCCGAAGGGAAACCGAGUCUUAACUGGGCGUUAAGUUGCAGGGUAUAGACCCGAAACCCGGUGAUCUAGCCAUGGGCAGGUUGAAGGUUGGGUAACACUAACUGGAGGACCGAACCGACUAAUGUUGAAAAAUUAGCGGAUGACUUGUGGCUGGGGGUGAAAGGCCAAUCAAACCGGGAGAUAGCUGGUUCUCCCCGAAAGCUAUUUAGGUAGCGCCUCGUGAAUUCAUCUCCGGGGGUAGAGCACUGUUUCGGCAAGGGGGUCAUCCCGACUUACCAACCCGAUGCAAACUGCGAAUACCGGAGAAUGUUAUCACGGGAGACACACGGCGGGUGCUAACGUCCGUCGUGAAGAGGGAAACAACCCAGACCGCCAGCUAAGGUCCCAAAGUCAUGGUUAAGUGGGAAACGAUGUGGGAAGGCCCAGACAGCCAGGAUGUUGGCUUAGAAGCAGCCAUCAUUUAAAGAAAGCGUAAUAGCUCACUGGUCGAGUCGGCCUGCGCGGAAGAUGUAACGGGGCUAAACCAUG